rnacentral:rRNA from 1 species
GAUGAACGCUGGCGGCGCGCCUAACACAUGCAAGUCGGACGAUUAAAGCACCUUCGGGUGUGUAUAAAGUGGCGAACGGCUGAGUAACACGUGGGCAACCUGCCCCUCUCAUUGGGAUAGCCACGGGAAACCGUGGAUAAUACCGAAUACUUCGGGACUUCCGCAUGGAAGACUCGAGAAAGCUCCGGCGGAGAGGGAUGGGCCCGCGGCCUGUUAGCUUGUUGGUGGGGUAAUUGCCUACCAAGGCAAUGAUGGGUAGCUGGGUUGAGAGACCGACCAGCCAGAUUGGGACUGAGACACGGCCCAGACUCCUACGGGAGGCAGCAGUGGGGAAUCUUGCACAAUGGGCGAAAGCCUGAUGCAGCGACGCCGCGUGCGGGAUGGAGGCCUUCGGGUUGUAAACCGCUUUCAGCAGGGACGAGGCGAAAGUGACGGUACCUGCAGAAGAAGCCCCGGCUAACUACGUG